GGGGUAUAUUGCUUUGCACAUGUCGGUCUGUCAGUCGGUCCGUCCACCAGGUGGUUUCCAGAUGAUGACUCAAGAACGCUUGGGCCUAGGAUCAUGAAACUUUAUAGGUACAUUGAUAAUGACUCGCAGUUGACCCCUAUUGAUUUUGAGGUCACUAGGUCAAAGGUCAAGGUCACGGUGAACCGAAAUAGUAAAAUGGUUUCCGGACGAUAACUCAAGAACCUUAGGCCUAGAAUCAUGAAACUUGAUAGGUAGAUUGAUCAUGACUCGAAAAUAACCACUAUAGAUUUUCAGGUCACUAGAUCAAAGGUCAAGGUCACAGUGACCCGAAAUAGUAAAAUGGUUUCCGGAUGAUAACGCAAGAACGCUUAUGCCUAGGAUCAUGAAACUUUAAGGUACAUUGAUCUUGACUCGCAAAUGAACGCUAUAGAUUUUCAGAUCACUACGUCAAAGGUCAAGGUCACAGUGACCCGAAAUAGUAAAAUGGUUUCUGGAUGAUAACACAAGAACACUUAUGCCUAGGAUCAUGAAACUUGAUAGGUAGAUUGAUCAUGACUCGCAGAUGACCCCUAUUGAUUUUCAGGUCACUAGGUCAAAGGUCAAGGUCACGGUGACCCAAAAUAGUAAAAUGAUUUCCAGAUAAUAACUCAAGAACGCUUAUGCCUAGGAUCAUGAAACUUGAUAGGUAGAUUGAUCAUGACUGGCAGUUGGCCCCUAAUUAUUUUCAGGUCACUAUAUCAAAGGUCAGGGUCACGGUGACCUGAAAUAGUAAAAUGGUUUCCGGAUGAUAACUAAAGAACGCUUAGGCCUAGGAUCAUGAAACUUGAUAGGUAGAUUGAUCAUGACUCGCAGAUGACCCCUAUUGAUUUCAGGUCACUAGGUCAAAGGUCAAGGUCACGGUGAACCGAAAUAGUAAAAUGGUUUCCGGAUGAUAACUCAAGAACGCUUAUGACUAGGAUCAUGAAACUUCAUAGGUACAUUGAUCAUGACUGGCAGAUGACCCCUAUUGAUUUUCAGGUCACUAGGUCAAAGGUCAAGGUCACAGUGACAAAAACAUACUCACACAAUGGCUGUCACUACAACGAAGAGCCCAUAUGGGGGCAUGCAUGUUUUACAAACAGCCCUUUUUUUUAUUUUGAUAUCCUACUUUGCAGUUAAAGAACUCUUCAAAUAUGUACCAGGGGUGCUUAAUGGGGUUAAAGUAGUUCGGAUGGGAGAGACGGCUGAUCUCUUGAAGGAAUUCCAUGCCAGUGGUAUAGGGAUCCACAGUGGUUUCAAUAAAACAAAUGAGACGAUGAAGAUAAGGUUCUGGUGGCCCAAGAUGACACAUGAUAUCAGGGAAUAUGUGAAGAUGUGUGUACAAUGCUGAUCCACUGAAGCCACCAAAGAAACCUGAACUGAAAUCAAUCCAUGUCCAGCAACCAUGUGAAUUAGUUGGCUGUGAUUUAAUGGGUCCCUUCACAGAGACACCAGCUGGAAACAGAUUAAUCAAGAAUUGUGCGAGAAUUGGGACAUCAACCAUAAACUCACUGCUGCAUAUCAUCCACAGACCAAUGGCUUGGAUGAAAGAACAAAUCAAACAAUUAAAAGAUAGUCAAUGCAUAUUUGAAACUAUUGUCAAGACAGUCGACAGACAGUUGGUGUCCUGGAGAAAAAAGAAUGUUUUCAUUCCCAUCCUAUGCUGCCACUCAAUGGAAGACUGGGAAUUUUACGACAUACAGAUUUUCCAAGGUGGACUUUACCAUGUACGACUUGAUUAUGGUGCCCAGGUGCAAUAAUAGCCAUUGGGUUUUGCUGGUGGCCCAGCCAAAAACCAAAACUGUUAAUGUUUAUGACUCGCUGGGUGGUGACAACAAGGUUUUCUAUGAGCUUUUCAGAAAGUUCAUGAGCGUCCGGUCCAAUGUUAUGUCUGAUGGAAUGGAUCAGUGGCAUUUUUUAUCAACAGCGCAGAACAGACAAACUGAUGGAACAAGCUGUGGCAUCUUUACUUUGAUGAAGGCUGAAUGUCUUGUGAAAAAUCUCCCAUCACUGACACUGGGACAGUCUCACGUAGCAUUUUUCCGGAACUAUGUUCGGGGACGUCUGUUGGCCUCUGGGGACAGGCACACAUAUUUAUGCAAUACCCUACAGUGUAUUGACCCCAGAGGACAACUUAAGUGGCUGAACUGUGAUGUGUGUUGGCGUUGGGUGCAUGAGAAGUGCAUUGGAACUGGUUUGGACACUGAAGGCUUUCGAUGUGACAUUUGCAAUGUCCAGUACAGUUGAUAAGAUACUGAUUACAGUUGAUACUUCGAAAGAGGCAUUUAUAUAUGAUGGUUUUACAAUCAUAAGUAAGAAUUUGAAAGUGUUUUAAACUUCAUGACUUCAUAAUAAGUAUCAAACUGCUAGUUAUGCAGCAAUGGCGUGUACAUAUUUUAUUUUAUUGUUUUAUUGUGUGUGCUACAGUUUUUAUAUCAAAGUAUAACAGUCUACAGUGUUUCAUUAUUUUCUUGAAAGAAGUUACCGUUACAGCAAGUUGUAACUUAUGAUGUUAUAUUGUUCCAUUGUAAUAUCUAUGUAGAUAUGAUUAUAAGUUGUUUUUGUACUGUUAAUGAUAAUCCGUUUAGAACUACUUUUUGUAAGUCAUCAGUGAAACAUGUGAGUUUUGUAGUGAAGCAAUCAUGAACUUAUAUUUUAAGGGUAAAAUACACAUUGUUGCAUAGUUAUUGCCUGUACAUCAUAUCAUUCAACAAACAGAUGGUUACCGGUAGACCUUAAAGUCUCUGUUUUCUGGUUAAUAAACAACAGUUCAAUAAUUAAAAAAGAAAAAUACUCAAUCACUUUUUGUCUUUAUAUAAAACCCAGACAUUUGAUACUAUUAAUAUAAUGUAUUCCUUGAAAAUAUUUUAACAAGAAUCGUUUGAAUGAUUUAUAAAAUAUUUUCCAAAAAAGUAUCAAAUUGUAGUGAGAAAUUAAGCUCUGUUUAAAUGUUGCUAUUUGGUGUUUAUGUAAAUAUAUGUUACAACAGGGAAUCGUUAGUUCCAUAUAUUUGGUUGCUGUCUGAUAGUACUCUGCCUCUUUUUGUAUUGAAGACAAUACUUUUAAGAGACUUAAUAUUGUUUUAUGUUCAGCCUUAUUAUUUGAAUGCAUUUUUUUCUACAAUUACCACGCUAUUUUACAGGAAAAGUAUACUUAAAAAUACUCACCAUCUGAUUUUGUUAGUCAUGCCUCUACAUCAUAACUUGACUGUUGUGUUCACAACAAACUUUUUGUUGUUGCUAUUUUCUUAGAAUAUCUAUUAUUAUUUGUUUUAUGAAACAUGUAUUGUUCUGAGGAGACAGUGUAUUAUUUAAAUAAUUAUUCAUUGUUUCAAUAUAUAAAUUUCUACUACCUUAUAAUACUGUUUAACACAAUGUGCAGUUAAACUAGGCUGAUAUCAGUGCGGAAUUUAUCUGUAUUUUAAAUAGCAUCUUAGGUUUUAUAUUUCAUUUAAUUUACAUAUUUUAUUAUAUUUUGGUUAUGACAAUCAAUGAUUACUUAGUAAUAAUACCUGACAUAUAAUAUACACUGUAUUGAUGAUCAAUCAACUUGUGAAAGCAAAAGAUAAAGAAAAAAAUUCAUCGAUAACACACAUGUUUUUAUAAUUUACAUGUACUUACCAAAUGUUCAAUAAUUUGCUUGCAUUGCAUUUUGUUAUUCUAAACCUCUGUUAAUGAUCCCAAUAAAUACAGUGUUGUUUUUUUUUUCAGAAUGACUGACCAUUCAAAAUGUAUGCUGUAUUUUUAUUACAAUUGUUAUUUUCCUUCAUAUCCAAAGAUGCUUAAAAAUUUACACAAAGCAGUUGUUUAUUUAUUGCAAAAAGAAG